rnacentral:rRNA from 1 species
AACCUUUAUGGAGCCAGCCGCCGAAGGUGGGACAGAUAAUUGGGGUGAAGUCGUAACAAGGUAGCCGUAUCGGAAGGUGCGGCUGGAUCACCUCCUUU